rnacentral:rRNA from 1 species
AUUGAACGCUGGCGGCAUGCCUUACACAUGCAAGUCGAACGGCAGCACGGGAGCAAUCCUGGUGGCGAGUGGCGAACGGGUGAGUAAUAUAUCGGAACGUGCCCAGUCGUGGGGAUAACGUAGCGAAAGCUACGCUAAUACCGCAUACGAUCUAUGGAUGAAAGCGGGGGAUCGCAAGACCUCGCGCGAUUGGAGCGGCCGAUAUCAGAUUAGGUAGUUGGUGAGGUAAAGGCUCACCAAGCCGACGAUCUGUAGCUGGUCUGAGAGGACGACCAGCCACACUGGGACUGAGACACGGCCCAGACUCCUACGGGAGGCAGCAGUGGGGAAUUUUGGACAAUGGGCGCAAGCCUGAUCCAGCAAUGCCGCGUGCAGGAUGAAGGCCUUCGAGUGUAACUAGCUUUGUUACGGAACGAAACGGUAGAGACUCUAAUACAGUUGCUAAUGACGGUACCGUAA